CGACGUGAGCAAUCUACCUUGGAGUGGGGAAUAACGGCUGGAAACAGCCGCUAAUACCGCAUGAUGCGUCUGGGCCGCAUGGCUCUGGGCGCCAAAGAUUUAUCGCUGGAAGAUGGCCUCGCGUCUGAUUAGCUAGUUGGUGAGGUAACGGCCCACCAAGGCGACGAUCAGUAGCCGGACUGAGAGGUUGGCCGGCCACAUUGGGACUGAGAUACGGCCCAGACUCCUACGGAAGGCAGCAG
rnacentral:rRNA from 1 species